UUGAAUGCUUAAUAAGGAGGGAAGAAGGAGUGUUCAUGUUUUCUUUCUUUUGCAAUUGUCGUAACUAGAGGAAGAAGAGAAAGCAAGAUUCGGCCAAGGUGGUCCUUUAGAUCAAGGUAUGUUCAAUGAUAUUUUUGGAAGUUUACACAACCUUUGGGUGAUGAGUCUAAAUUCUAUCUAUCCCAUGGUUGGAUUUGGGGUUGUCGGAGAGUAAGGCUUUGACUAAGAAGCUUAAAAAUUUUAGUUGAUACCUUGAUGCUAUUAACAUGUUAGUUAUAUAUAUGUGUUAAAUUGCUUGUUAUGUUAGCAUGAAAGUUGAAGUUGUUAAGUCACUUUGUUGGAGGUGCCAAAUUUAGGACUAAGAAGAGAAUGAGUAUUCGGCUAACAUGGUUGAAAGGUGGAUGUGCCAAUUUUUAGAUUUAGACUAUGAGAAUGGCUAUAAUGGGCAUUAAGAUGUGGAACUUAAGAAAUGUAGUUAUAUGUGGAUUUACAUGAUGUUACAAAUAGAUGUGAAAAUAUGCUAGAUUAGGAAAAUUCGAUCAAGUGUUCAUGAGAUGAAAUUAGAUGUUUAAAUGAUGUUAUAGUUGACAUUGUACAUACAUUCGGCCAUCUAAUUGAGUAUGAAGGUGGUGUUAAAUCUAAUUGUGAUGCCCAUUCGGAAGUGUAUAUAUAUAUACAUAAGUAUGCCCAUUCGUGAGGUUACCUUUGAUUAUGUGUAUAAUCGACUAAAUGGGUAAUUAGUGAGGAUGGUUGCCGAAUAUACUAACAAACAUAUGCAUGUGUAAUUGGAUUAUAAAUAUUUAGCAAGGUGGUUAAACUAGUUGAUUUAUUGAUUAAGCUCAAGGAGUUAAAGGAGGAGAAUCAAGCAAAGGCAAAGAAAAGAUCAUCGAGUAGCCGAGUUGGAACCGUCUUACCCAACACAAGGUAAGUCAUUAAGCAUAUAUUUUGUAUUAAUUUAAAUGGUCAUAACGUCUAUGUAAUGAUGCUGAAUGGAAUGAUAAAUAUAUAUAUACAUGUACGCAUGGGGUGAUGAAAGUAUUGAAUGAAAAAGAAAAGAGGUGAGAUGUAUUGAGUUGUUGGUUUCGGCACUAAGUGUGCGGGUGUAAACAUUUAUGAUCAUGAGAUUAGCACUAAGUGUGCGGGUUCAAAUUGUAUAGCACUAAGUGUGCAAGUUUGAUUAUAUAGCACUAAGUGUGCGAGUUCGACUCUUAAGCACUAAGUGUGUGGGCUUAUUAUACAUUCUCUAAUAAAUAUACAUGCUCUAAGUGUGCGGCCUUAUCGAGUCAAUUAUGGACAGCGGUACGAGUAAACACCUUGAGCUCAUGAGAAAUAGACAUUUUAUUUAUAUUUGGGAUUGAGCUUGGUAAGUCUUGAACCUAUGUGGUGAUUAUACUUGAAGAUAAAUGCAUCCAAUGUCAUAUGGUGUAAUGUAUGAAAUGUCAAAGUAGGGCUUGGUAUGAGAUCGAACCGAAAUGCCUAAGGAAUUAUAGCACAGUUUGGGUAUGGAUGGAGGAUUUUAAUCUCGCAUUAUUUAUUUUCUCUUAUGAUAUAUUAUUACUGAACGGCAAUGUAAUGCUUAUGACUUACUGAGUUAUAUACUCACUCAGUGUUUGCUUGUCACCUACUUUAGGUUUCUUGGACUCGUCUUUUUGCGUGCUCGGGACUGUCAUCGAAGUCAUCACACCGGCUAGCAACUUUUGG
rnacentral:lncRNA from 1 species